rnacentral:pre_miRNA from 1 species
CUGUUCUUUUGAGGGGACUGUUGUCUGGUUCAAGGCCAUCAAUUAAUUGUAACUUUGAUUCAUGUGUGUGUGUCUGUGUGUAUAUACAUAUAUGUUCUCGGACCAGGCUUCAUUCCCCUUAAUUACUG